rnacentral:rRNA from 1 species
AGGGAUCAUUGCUGGAACGCGCUUCGGCGCACCCAGAAACCCUUUGUGAACUUAUACCUAUUGUUGCCUCGGCGUAAGCUGGCUUUGAAAUAUAAGCCCCCUGGAAACGGGGAGCAGCCCGCCGGCGGCCAACUAAACUCUUGUUUCUAUAGUGAAUCUCUGAGUAAAAAACAUAAAUGAAUCAAAACUUUCAACAACGGAUCUCUUGGUUCUGGCAUCGAUGAAGAACGCAGCGAAAUGCGAUAAGUAAUGUGAAUUGCAGAAUUCAGUGAAUCAUCGAAUCUUUGAACGCACAUUGCGCCCCCUGGUAUUCCGGGGGGCAUGCCUGUUCGAGCGUCAUUUCAACCCUCAAGCCUGGCUUGGUGAUGGGGCACUGCUUCGAAAGGAGCAGGCCCUGAAAUUCAGUGGCGAGCUCGCCAGGACCCCGAGCGUAGUAGUUAUAUCUCGCUCUGGAAGGCCCUGGCGGCGCCCUGCCGUUAAACCCCCAACUUCUGAAAAUUUGACCUCGGAUCAGGUAGGAAUACCCGCUGAACUUAA